UUGGCUGGGGCGGCACAUCUGUUAAACGAUAACACAGGUGUCCUAAGGUUAGCUCAAUGAGAACAGAAAUCUCAUGUAGAACAAAAGGGUAAAAGCUAACUUGAUUUUGAUUUUCAGUACGAAUACAAACUGUGAAAGCAUGGCCUAUCGAUCCUUUAGUUCUUUUGGAUUUUAAGCUAGAG
rnacentral:ncRNA from 1 species